rnacentral:rRNA from 1 species
CUACGGGACGCUGCAGUGGGGAAUAUUGCACAAUGGGCGCAAGCCUGAUGCAGCCAUGCCGCGUGUAUGAAGAAGGCCUUCGGGUUGUAAAGUACUUUCAGCGGGGAGGAAGGGAGUAAAGUUAAUACCUUUGCUCAUUGACGUUACCCGCAGAAGAAGCACCGGCUAACUCCGUGCCAGCAGCCGCGGUAAUACGGAGGGUGCAAGCGUUAAGCGGAAUUACUGGGCGUAAAGCGCACGCAGGCGGUUUGUUAAGUCAGAUGUGAAAUCCCCGGGCUCAACCUGGGAACUGCAUCUGAUACGGGCAAGCUUGAGUCUCGUAGAGGGGGGUAGAAUUCCAGGUGUAGCGGUGAAAUGCGUAGAGAUCUGGAGGAAUACCGGUGGCGAAGGCGGCCCCCUGGACGAAGACUGACGCUCAGGUGCGAAAGCGUGGGGAGCAAACAGGAUUAGAUACCCCCGUAGUC